rnacentral:misc_RNA from 1 species
UAAAAGAAAAGAAAUAUUCUUUUAAAAUAAAACAAGAAAUUUAUAGAAUAAAUAAUCUACAAAGAAAAUAAUAAUAAGUAAGAAUAAAAAGAAUUAGAAUAUAAAAAUAAAGAAAAAGUAUAAU